GAAGGGGAGGGGCUUUCGGGCUCGAGAGGGGGCCGAGUCGGCGAGGAGUCCCUGGGGGACGCUCGGGACUCGCCGUCCAGGGCAGGCCCGGGCGGCCUGUUUAGGCCACGGGAAGCGGCGCGGCCAUCGCCGCGCGCGGGCGGCCUCCACGCCCCCGCCGGAAGUGGCCCCGAGAGGCGCGGCGCUCCGGCUGCGGAGGGAAACCGCCACCUUCGUAUCGCCCGGCCUCUGCCGGCUCAAGUUCGGCAUUCCCGAGCUUUGCCUGCGGGUUGGGUGUCAGUAAUGGCCCGGCUUCUCGGGUCCGCGGGAUUUAUUUAGCGUGUGCCACUCAACCCCUUACUCCACCCAGUGUGUCAAGAGUCCCUCGUGCGCCUGAGCGACUUUGCCAGAGGUCUUAAGUCCUUGACAUUCUCAUUGUCCCCAAUCUUGCCCCUCCCCCCUUUUCAAUGCCAAUGAACCUUAAGGCAGGGAGUAUGGGCGGCUCCAGGCAGGAAUGGACCAGAGGACAAAGAGGGUCGGGCUUCUGUAGCCCGGCCCUCAGUUCUGACAGUCGUGUGGGUUUUGUCAGAGCUGCCGCAGCGGGAAGGUUCAAAGGCCGCUUUAACCGAGGCCACUCCGCGGUACCGUUACCUGCUCAGUCCGCAGCAGGAGACUCCUGUUCGUCCGGGAGGAAAACCCCAGAUGGAGAGACCGCUUGGUGCAGAAAACAACAAAUAAGGGAUCAGGAUACAGCCAACACAGAGGGACAACCAUAAGAGGACACAGUGAAAAGGCAGCCAUCUGCAAGCUGAAGAGAGGCCUCAGAAGAAACCAAACCUGAUGACAAAGAGAUCUUGGACUUCCGGCCACUAGAACUUGGAGUGCUCACUCACCAAACUCAAAGAUUGCAGGGUGUGGAAGGAAAACAGUGAAUGAAAGCAGAAGAGGAAGAGCACUGGGGAAUUGGGGCCUGGUUCCUCACUGGUAUUGGACAGUGGAGGCCCUCCCUGGUUGGUCUUAACUGGUUUCCUGUCAAAGACAACCAGAACCUUCGCUGUUUGAAAGCACAUCAGCAAGAAUGAAAUAUCCCCCUCCUGCCAAGAGGACCCAAUCACUUUGACACUGAGAAUCAGCCUUGAUCUUCAACCCAGGAAAUGUAGAGGGACAGGCAAUCGUGAUAAACUACACCACAGGGAAGCCGUCAGCAAAAUCCCAAUUGGAAAACUCCACAGGAAAAACAACCCAGUCUCUUCAACAAAGAAGCUACAAGAAAAAAAGAGAUGAAUGGCAAACAUAUUAGAGUUGAAAGACAUGUCAACCAACCAUUAUGUAUAGAACUUAUUUGGAUUCAGAUUAGAACAAAGCAUUUUUUAAACCUGUGACAUGUAGGUUAAUUUUAACACCAACUAGAUAUUUGAUGAAUUAAGGAAAUAUUGUUAAUUAUUUUCGAUGUGACUUGCUAUUGUGGUCCUUAUCUUUUAGAGAUACAUAAAGCAAUAUUUGUGGAUGAAAUACUAUGGUAUCUGGGAUCUGCUUCAAAAUGAUACAGGAUGGACAGUCUUAAGUUUGAUAACUGAUGAAGUUGGAUAACAGGUACCUUGCCUCUGUGUAUAUGUUUUCUCAAUUAUCAAGAAUUAAAAAUACAGGCAUGCCUGGGUGGCUCAGUCUGUUGAGCAUCUCAGUGUAUAAGACUACCCCAUUUCCCUAGCCCUAACCAGCACUGGGCAUUAGCAAACCUUUACAUUUGACCAAUUAUGAAUCUCACAGUCCCCUCGGAAUCUCAUGGUCCCCACGGAGCACCGUGGUGGCUGGUUAUCAACCUGGAAGGCCUGAUGCAGCCAUUUCAAUGUUCAGGGAAGCCCUGUUGCAGUGAUCGGAUGCUCAUUUGAGGAUCAAGGUGCCAUCAGCCCCAAAAGGUGCUUGAAUGGACCUAGACCCUGUGGCCUCUGAGACUGACUUUUCUGUUUUCAAUGAUGCCAUUCGGCUCCUUUCUGUCUCCAUAGUCACAUUAGCCUAGGAGCUGAUAGGGUUCUCUAAAGUCUGUUUCCAUUGGUCUGGUCUAAUCUGGCAAGGUCUGGCUCUGCCUGCCAGUGUCACCUCAUGUUACUGCACUUUCCUCCUUGCCCUCUAAACACCACCCAGACUAGACUUCUUGCAGGUCCUUCUACCUCUCUGGGCCUGCUGUCUUUUGCUUUCCUCCAGGCCUUUGCCUGUUCCACCCCCUGCCUGGACCACUCUCCCUUCCCAUCCACCUCAGGUCUCAUCCUAACGUCCCUUCCUCCCAGAGGCCUUCCUCACCCACACCAAUGUCAAGUUAGGCCUCCCUCCAUUGCACUCUCUGUGUCGGCACUUAGCCCAUCUUAACACUUGUCACACUUUAUUAUGGUCACUGCUUUAGUAUCUGACUUCCCUCCUAGCUACUAAAAGUCCAGGAAGUCAGAAGCCACUCUGUUCUGUUGAACCUUGUAUCUUCACUGCCCAGCAGAUUGCCUGAUAUCUAACAGAUACUCAAAUUAUUGAAUGAAAAAAUGAAGUAAUGGUAUCUUAGGGGUCAGAGAAGAGGAAUGGUCCUAGAGAGCCUUUCUUAUAGAACUUAAUAAUAUCAAAUAGAUACUUAAAACAUUUAUAAAAGUAGUAGAUACAGAUUUUCCAUCACCCAUGUGAAUGAUUAAACCUAGUCUCCCCAGGCUCAGGGAUAGUCUCCCAGUUAAGGAUCACUUAACUGAGACCUAAACAGAACUGGCCCUCACGCUUACUCUCUGUGCCAGAAUUUCUGAUUAGCCAUAUUGUGAGCUAUGUUAGCAGGGCUCCCCCAGACCACACUGUGGAGCCAAAUAUGGUAUGAAUAUUGCUGAUUAAGUUUUACAUUUUUUGUAUUAUUUUUUUUUUUCUUUUGAAGGCCAAACUGAGGCAGUGAGGCAGACCCCUGGAGGUUUAUGAGCAGGUGGGUGAUGAGGUCAGAUCUGUGCUUGGAAGGUCACCCUAGCAGAAGAACAUGGAAGGGAUUCGAGAGGUGUGAGCCUAGGAGAGGGGAGGUGUAACCCUAACACUUUCUCCCACUUGAAUAGAAUAGGUAUCUGUGUAUAGGUCUCAUGUCCCAUCUGAGUUCCUUCCCACCUGAGGGCAAAAAGUUUAUCAUGUUCAUCUGUGGAACUAUCACGACACAAAAUCAGAAAUUAAUUAAAUUAAAUUAAAUUAAUUAAAUUAAAAAGUGGAAGGACUGGAAACAACUAUCCAUCAACAAGUGAAUGGGGGGCACCAGGGUGGCUCAGUCAGUUAAGCGGCUGCCUUCAGCUCAGGUCCUGACACCAGGGUCCUGGGAUCGAGUCCCGCAUCGGGCUCCCUGCUCAGCGGAGAGCCUGCUUCUCCCUCUGCCCCUUUCCCUGCUCAUGCUCUCCCUCUGUGUCUCUGAAAUAAAUAAAUACUCUUUUUUAAAAAAAAGGGAUUUGAGUGAAAGAAGCCAAACACAAACAAUACACUGUACGACUUCAUUUACAUAAAACUUUAGAAAAUGCAAACUAUCUCUAAUGUCAUAAAGCAAACCAGCAGUUGCCUGAGGGCAGGGAUGGGGGCAAAGGAGGACAUUGGUGAAGGGGGCAGAAAGAAGAAUUAUGAAGUGGCACUAGGAAACUCUGGGGUAGGUUGAUGGAUAUGUUCAUUAUUUUGAGUAUAGUGAUGUUUUCAUUGAUAUAUAUGUAUGUCAAAACUUAGCAAAUUAUACUUUAAACGUGCAGUUUAUUGUAUGCCAGUUAUAACACAAUAAAGCUGUUUUUAAAAAAAGUACGGGUGGAUAUGGUAGAGAAAUGAAGGCAGAAGUGUCAUUUGAGCUAUAAGAUAUGGCUUUGGCUUGAAAGAAACUGGGUGGCUCAGUUGGUUAAGCGACUGCCUUCAGCUCAGAUCAUGAUCCUGGAGCCCCGUAUCGAGCUCCGCAUCGGGCUCCCUGCUCGGCAGGGAGUCUGCUUCUCCCUCUGACCCUCCCCCCCCCAUGCUCUCUCUCUCUCAAAUAAAUAAAUA